UUACGACCAUAUCACGUUGAAACACCGGUUCUUGUCCAAUCACCGAAGUUAAGCAACGUUGAACCUGGUCAGUACCUAAGUGGGUGACCAUCUGUAAG